AUUGAACGCUGGCGGCAGGCCUAACACAUGCCAGUCGAACGGUAACAGGAAGCAGCUUGCUGCUUUGCUGACGAGUGGCGGACGGGUGAGUAAUGUCUGGGAAACUGCCUGAUGGAGGGGGAUAACUACUGGAAACGGUAGCUAAUACCGCAUAACGUCGCAAGACCAAAGAGGGGGACCUUAGGGCCUCUUGCCAUCGGAUGUGCCCAGAUGGGAUUAGCUAGUAGGUGGGGUAACGGCUCACCUAGGCGACGAUCCCUAGCUGGUCUGAGAGGAUGACCAGCCACACUGGAACUGAGACACGGUCCAGACUCCUACGGGAGGCAGCAGUGGGGAAUAUUGCACAAUGGGCGCAAGCCUGAUGCAGCCAUGCCGCGUGUAUGAAGAAGGCCUUCGGGUUGUAAAGUACUUUCAGCGGGGAGGAAGGGAGUAAAGUUAAUACCUUUGCUCAUUGGCGUUACCCGCAGAAGAAGCACCGGCUAACUCCGUG
rnacentral:rRNA from 1 species